rnacentral:rRNA from 1 species
GUGAAAAAGAACCUGAAACCGUGUACGUACAAGCAGUGGGAGCCCCACCACUAAGCCAGUGGUGAACUCCACAUACGCAUCCUUUGCUGAAGGCAAUGGUUAACGGAGCGAAAGCGACGUUCAACCGCAAAACAAGCAGAGGGGGCUUAGUGGUGGGGUGACUGCGUACCUUUUGUAUAAUGGGUCAGCGACUUAUAUUCUGUAGCAAGGUUAACCGUAUAGGGGAGCCGGAGGGAAACCGAGUCUUAAUUGGGCGUUAAGUUGCAGGGUAUAGACCCGAAACCCGGUGAUCUAGCCAUGGGCAGGUUGAAGGUUGGGUAACACUAACUGGAGGACCGAACCGACUAAUGUUGAAAAAUUAGCGGAUGACCUGUGGCUGGGGGUGAAAGGCCAAUCAAACCGGGAGAUAGCUGGUUCUCCCCGAAAGCUAUUUAGGUAGCGCCUCGUGAAUUCAUCUCCGGGGGUAGAGCACUGUUUCGGCUAGGGGGCCAUCCCGGCUUACCAACCCGAUGCAAACUGCGAAUACCGGAGAAUGUUAUCACGGGAGACACACGGCGGGUGCUAACGUCCGUCGUGAAGAGGGAAACAACCCAGACCGCCAGCUAAGGUCCCAAAGUCAUGGUUAAGUGGGAAACGAUGUGGGAAGGCCCAGACAGCCAGGAUGUUGGCUUAGAAGCAGCCAUCAUUUAAAGAAAGCGUAAUAGCUCACUGGUCGAGUCGGCCUGCGC